AUGUUUGGUAGGAGCAAUUCCAAAGAAUGGAAUGGUUACAUGUUGGUGUUUGGUUUGAGAGAUGGAAUGGAAUGGAAUUGUUCAUCUCAGUUGAUUACAUUGAUUCAUACUGAAUUAUAUUUCGAUAGAAAACUAAUGAAUGCAACUGAGCACUUGAUUAUAUUGAUUCGGAGGUAUAUAUAUAGACGCUGCAGUACAGGUAUGCAAGAUCAAAUGAGGAAUCUAUCAGAAUCAGAGAGCAGAAAAGAUCAUAUCAGGCAUCACACACACCACCUGACGACGUCCAGAAAAGAUCAGAUCAGGCACUUUGCACAUUGCGAGUGCCUUCACAAAUAUUAA
rnacentral:rRNA from 1 species